rnacentral:rRNA from 1 species
UACGGAGGGUGCAAACGUUGCUCGGAAUCAUUGGGCGUAAAGCGCACGUAGGCGGCUUGCCAAGUCGGACGUGAAAUCCCUCAGCUCAACUGAGGACGUGCAUCCGAAACUGGCGAGCUUGAGUACUGAAGAGGAUCGCGGAAUUCCCGGUGUAGAGGUGAAAUUCGUAGAUAUCGGGAGGAACACCAGUGGCGAAGGCGGCGAUCUGGGCAGAUACUGACGCUGAGGUGCGAAAGCGUGGGGAGCAAACAGG